AUGCUGGUGAGUCACUUGUUCGUGGAAACAUAUAUAGAGGACGGAGACGAUCUGAUCAGCAAGCUACCUGACGAGGUUCUUUUCAAUGUCGUCGGCCGCCUCGAUGACAUCGACGACGCCGCGAGGACCGGCGUCCUGUCCACGUGGUGGAGGUGGAUCCCCGCUAUGCUCCCAAACAUUGUCAUGUCGGUCGAUUCCUUCAAGCCAAAGCACCGCCGUAGAUGGGAGUUGGGACACGAGUACUUAGAUCGGGCCAAAGCCGACAUGAUCGAAGCAGCUCGGGCCACAACCGCCAUGAUCGGAGCAACUCGGGACAGUGCCAUCAUGGUCGGAGCAGCUAGGAGCAUGCUCGGGAUGAAUAACACCAGAAGCCUUUACGCCAUCGACGUCUUGCACCUAGAGAUCUACCUGGGCUACCAUUCCGUCUCCAUCGGCCCGGCCAUCGCCGACGCCAUGGCAACGGACAAGAUUGGUCUGGCCAAGAGGCAACUCCGGUCAUUCGUCGGCGCUUGUUGGAGCGCAUUCGGCGGCCUCGUGCACCUCAAGCUACGAAAUCUGAGGCUACCAGAUGACGGCUUGCCCAAGAUCCUGAGCACGUGCAAGUGGCUGCAGUUUCUCAUGAUGUACAACUGCGACGCGGGGCAUCUGUUUGUGCUGGAGGUGGAGCACCCGCGGCUCGGUGAGCUCGAGAUUGUCGACUGCGACUACGACAGAGUCGAGCUCAAGUGGCUGCCAGAGCUCACGCUCUUCACCGUUUCCCGCUGGAUUUCUCCGCAUGACCUGGUGUCUUUCGGCCAUGUCCCGUUGCUCAGGAGUGUGAGCAUGGCUAAUACUUGUCUUACUGAGCAUAAGGUGCCUCAGUCUUGUAAAAGUAUUUGGGAAGCGUAG
rnacentral:rRNA from 1 species